ACCAAUGUGUGUGCCUGAGUCUUAUCACCUCUCAACUUGGUAAACUAUUUCAACCUCGAACACUAUUCUUUGGUCUGGUUCAGUCAUUGCAGGAAGUCCUGAAGAGCAGGAGUUUGAAGGCUUUUGUCCCAGCCCAGCUCUAACACUUGAUCAACAUAGUCCAUUGACCAUAACAUUGACCAUAAUGUCAGUGGGAUGAGGGGGAUUCAUUUUGAUGGUAUUGAUAUAUAACGCAUGCUCCACUCUCAAGUUGAACUUGUUGACUGAUGCCAAGGCGGCGGUUGCUAAGAAGAAAGGAGCAGCUGCGAAACAGAAGAUUGCAGCCAAGGCAGCACUGGUCCACACCUGCCUUGUCUGUCGGAUGCAGACCCGAAGACAUUCAAGCAGCACUUUGAGAGCAAUCAUCCCAUGUCUCCAAUGGUCCCAGUACCGGUUGAUGUGCAGACAUAAGUGACCACACACACUCAAAUGGACCUAUAGCUGGGACACAUGGUGACCACGAUUUGAAUGCUUACAACUGAGAUGGAAGGACGUGACCUCGAGAAUGACUGGACAUGGGCUGGAUAUUUGUGACAACCUAAAAGGGGUGCAGACGCACACUAGCACCCCAUUUUAUGUUUAUUCCAUAGCCAAUCAUAUCUCUAGCUAACCCCUUAUUCCACACUAUGCCCCGUGGUCCCUCAACUUCUGACACUUUGGAACUCUCCAUCUUAUCUCUAUAAACCCACGCUACCUUCACCCGUUUUCCCUAUGCUGCUUCCUUCACUUAUUAUUCUCCUGAUUUGAUAACAUUUAGACUCAAUAACAUGUUUCAAGGUGCUUACACAUGGGCGGUGGUAAGCGGUGUAGAGACCAGUGAUCCAGGUUGUUGUCAGCUUGAAAGUUGUCAUUAAAACAUUGUUUGAUUGGUUGACCAGAUGAACUCUGCUCAUUGGUCAACCAUGCAUGGCGGCAGCGCAAGACUUCAGCUAAUGACAUCUUUUGGUGCCCCGGGCUCCGAGCCAGCUUCGCCGCUCAUGGGAGCGAGUACCACGAACAGGGCCGCUUGCAAAACUGCUUUCAUUUUGCCGCCAGCCGCUCUACUCCAAUUGAAGUCUGUAACCUUUGCCGCUUACCAUGGCCUGGUACCUUUUUGUGGUGUACUGUUUUUGCUACCUUCAGACUGAAUGCCGUGGUAAAUGUGUUGCUCACAAUUGACAGCCGCAACAUGGACCUGUUAAAUUGAUAAGGGUGUUGAUAUAGUUGAGUUUAGGCAUGGCUUCCUUGUUUUGAGUCUGUUAAGUUUGUUUCUCAUUGACCUAGUAUUUUAUAUCAAAUCAAAUUUAUUUAUAAAGCCCUUACAUCAGC